GGGAACAAAGCAGCGCCCUGCGGAAGGCAGCCCUCGUGAACUCAGAAGUUAGUUUUCGUCUCUGGACCUUUUUAUAAUCGGACUUCAGCCCAUCACUGUCUCGUUUUGUCCUCAGAAACGGCGACAGCAGCCUCUUCCCAAUGUUGAGAGCAAAAAGUGUGAACCCAGAAAUUCCGAGACAGAUCUCAAUUACUUGCCAAGGUUGAGGACGCGCGCGUGACAGCCUCAGGAAGUCCUCACGACAUGUGCCCAAGGUGGUCUGGGCAUAGCUUAGUUUUAUACAUUUUAUGGAGACAUGAGACAUCAAUAAAUGUAUGUAAGAAGUACAUUGGUUCUGUUUGGAAAGGCGGGGCAACUUGAAGCAAAGGCAGGAAGACGUGAAGCAGGAAGGGGGCUUCCAAGAAACAGAAGAGACAAGUGAACAUUUAUUUUUAUGUCUUUCUUCCUAUGUGUAUUUCAAGUCUUUUUCAAAACAAGGCCCCAGGACUCUCCAGAUUCAAUUAUGUCCUUGGGCUUGGUCGACUGCUGCAGGAGUCUUAAGGAGCCUUGUGCAAAUGCUAGAGUGACUCAUUUACCAACAUUAAACCCUAGGAUAGAUGCAACAGAGAAGUACUACUUCCUCCAUGGAAUGUGCUGAUUUCAGGCGACGUGGCACCCAAUGUAGAAAACGCUGGAAUUUUUCCUUGGAACUGGACUGUGAUGAGAGGUGCUUGCCAUGAACAUAAGCUACUGUCUUUUUUUUCUUUUUUUGAGACGGACUUUCACUUUUUUUGCCCAGGCUGGAGUGUAAUGGCGCGAUCUUGGCUCACCGCAACCUCCGCCUCCCAGGUUUGAGUGAUUCUCCUACCUUAGCCUCCUGAGUAGCUGGGAUUACAGGCGUGCGCCACCAUUCCCAGCUAAUUUUUGUAUUUUUAGUAGACACAGUGUUUCUCCAUGUUGGUCAGGCUGGUCUCAAACUCCUGACCUCAGGUGAUACGCCCGCCUCAGCCUCCCAAAGUGUUGGGAUUACUGGCGUGAGGCAUCGUGCCCAGCAAGCUACUGUCUUUUCUUUGACCCUUUCCAGUUUUUGAAGAUAAAGCAGGAAAUAAUCUUCUCUGAAAGUACUUGAUAAAAAUUCCCAAAA
rnacentral:lncRNA from 1 species